UAUUUUGGGGAAGGGAGAGGGAGAAAGGGAGGGGGGAGAGGAUUAAAGGAUUUUUGAAUUCUGCCUAUUCGGUCUUAUAAUCCUAGGAUUUUCGAGUCUGGGAGAGUUUAAAGUGACACGAAUGAGAUGAAUAAGGGCGAAGAGAAAGGUGAGACUAAAAAUUGCAACUUUAAUCCACUUCGCUCGAGUUCUGUUUUGAAUUAUCGAUCUACAUUACAUCUAGCACGCAGAAGAUAAUUCUUCUAUGAGUCAUCUAUUACCUCGAACCUUCUAAUUAAAU